rnacentral:rRNA from 1 species
GACGAACGCUGGCGGCGUGCUUAACACAUGCAAGUCGAACGGAAAGGCCCUGCUUUUGUGGGGUGCUCGAGUGGCGAACGGGUGAGUAACACGUUAGUAACCUGCCCUUGACUUUGGGAUAACUUCAGGAAACUGGGGCUCAUACCGGAUAGGAGCUCCUGCUGCAUGGUGGGGGUUGGAAAGUUUCGGCGGUUGGGGAUGGACUCGCGGCUUAUCGGCUUGUUGGUGGGGUAGUGGCUUACCAAGGCUUUGACGGGUAGCCGGCCUGAGAGGGUGACCGGCCACAUUGGGACUGAGAGACGGCCCAGACUCCAACGGGAGGCAGCAGUGGGGAAUAUUGCACAAUGGGCGGAAGCCUGAUGCAGCAACGCCGCGUGCGGGAUGACGGCCUUCGGGUUGUAAACCGCUUUCGCCUGUGACGAAGCGUGAGUGACGGUAAUGGGUAAAGAAGCACCGGCUAACUACGUG